rnacentral:misc_RNA from 1 species
CUUCGCGGAAGGAAGAGAUGAUCAAGCAAAGAAAACAGAUAUCCAAGCAAACACACUUGAAAACCCCUCAAAACCCACCCGCACACAAAGAAAGCACUACAGUUGCUCAUCUCCACUUCUUCUCGUAGCCGUUUCCGCCGCUACUGCUGUGUUGGCGAUACAGUAUUACUGUCUGAUUUAUCCUAGUAUUGGGCUCAGUGCUCACAGUGCUGCGUCUCUCUCUCCCCUCCCCAUCUGGUUUAACACUUCUGCCGCUUUGAUUAUUACUAUUAUUAUCUUGCUGCGUCCUCCUCUUUCUUGUGUCUUGGUGUCUGUGCUGCUUCAUCACGGACUCCCAUCAUCCGCUUGCUCGCCCCCUCUCCCUCCUUCUCUCUCUUCGUUACUUAAACUGUGGACUCGCUCUUGUUUGUUGUCGUUUUAUUCUGCGUGUGCCCGUGUGCACGUCGACGAGACUGCUGUGCUUUUCAUAUACCUCUUUGUUAGCUGCGGGUUGCCAUUUCCUUUGCGUACUUUUCUGUCGGAUUGAGCUGUGUGCGCGUGCGUAUUUCGAUCGUCUCAUCUCGCGAGAGGGGAUACGCUCGCAGAAGGAUUGUCGUGCUGCCUUUUCUUUGCUUCAUUCACCUGUCGUGUAAAAGGAAAGUGGAGAGCAGCAGCAGCAGCAGCUACGCAUUGGGCAUGCCUAGCAAGAGAAGAAAGAGAAAGGAAGACGAGUACCCCUUCCCCCAUCCACCCCUGCCACAACGAUCAAAACACAUACGCACACGCACGCAGGCGUGUUGGCACUUCUAGUUGUAGCCCUAUUAUAUAUAUAUAUAUGCGGGUGUGUUUGUGUGUGUGUGUGCAGGUGUACAUGUACCUCGUCAAAUUGUAGAAGGUAAAACUGGUAUCACGCUUGUUUAACCUGGUCAUCUCUUUCCCUGCCCCAAAUCCACGUUGCGCACGCGCUUUUUGACUUCUCUUUUUUUUUUCUGGUGCUCGCUUCACGUUGCCAUUUUCGAGCGAACUGGCUUUCCUUACGUUUUAUCAUUAUUAUUGUAUCUUCCACGUGGAAUUUUCUAGCAGACACUUGGCGCAGCCACUUUCUGCAUCGACUCUGCCAUUUUAUACACGAGCCCACGGAAAUUUACUCGAACCGACUUUGGAUUGCCACCUUUUUUUGUCCAGGCGUGCUGCACCCAACGCCUCGUAGGGGGGGGGAGGGGGGCACCAAGCUUGUGUUGUACGCCAAUCUGGCCUGUAUGUGUGUGGGUGCGUUAUCUAGCACCCUCUGAGCCUAUUCAACAGCCAUCUCACCGUGCGCACGUGACGCCAUCUGUUUCACCUCUUCUGUUCUGCUGAGCUCUGCACGUUAACGUGUUCUCUCGUGCGGGUUGUGCACUUCACUCUGCACUGUCCGGUAUCUGACAUUUAAUCGUUGCUGCGACACAUUUUGUUCGUUUCGCUUGCUAGAUAGGCACCAGAUAUGUCCAAGGAGGCGGCCAAGACUCCGAGGGAGGAUGGCGGCGUGGCGAGGAAGGGCGACGGCAAGGCGCCAAAGAAGCUGAUCGGCGGCCACAUCGAGCUUGGUCAUGUGCUCGGCGUUGGCGGUUUUGGCAAGGUCUACAACGCGUACGAUGUGACAAAGAAGGUACAUGUGGCAGUGAAGAUGAUUGACAAGGCACUGGUACGCAGCAGCGGCAUCCAGUCCUACGUGGAGCGCGAAAUCGAAAUGAUGCGCAAGAUGAAGAACCAACAUGUGGUGCGUCUUCUGGAAGCCAUCGAGACGUCCAAGGCGUACAACCUUGUCAUGGAACUGGCCCCGAACGGGGAGCUUUUCGACAAAAUUGUGGACUCGAAACGCUUCGACGAGGAAACAGCACGCAACUACUUCCAGCAGCUUAUCUGCGCGGUGCACUACUGCCACCGCAUGAACAUCGUCCACCGUGACCUGAAGGCUGAGAACUUGCUGCUCGGUGAGAACAACGUGCUGAAAGUGUGCGACUUUGGACUCUCCCGCUACACGAAGGAGGGCCGUUUCAACGACCACGAGGUACUCUUCACCUCGCUGGCAGGCAGUAUUGAUUACCAGGCACCCGAGGUGCUCAAGGAGCGGGGGUAUGAGGGGGAUUCGUGCGACAUGUGGAGCUGCGGCUGCGUUCUCUUCUUCAUGCUCUGCGGCUACCUUCCCUUCACGGACCGCUCAGACGGACUCACACGCAAGCGUAUUAUGAGCUGCCAAUACAAUAAGACAAGUCGCUACCUCCCGGAGCAGGCUGCCGAUCUCAUUGCUCAUCUGCUAGUCCCCUUCCCCUCCGCACGCUAUACGACCUCGGAUGUGAUUCAGCACCCAUGGUUCCGUGUCAACCUCGAUCCCAGCAUGUUCCCUGACGACAAUGUGGUACCAACACCGAUGAGCCCACUUGGCAACGGCGAGUUCAUUCAGCGCGUCAUCACCCCUCAGAUGAGCUCCGGUAGCUUUGGUGCGGCUCCGUCGCCCACCACCAGCAAGGCGGACGAGAUGCACCAGGCAUUCCAGAGCUGCAACAUCACCGGUGACGGCUUCCUCAACAAGGAGGAGGUGCGCGACGCCCUCAUAAAGCUCAAUGGCGGUAAUCAGGUGACGGAGCAGGAGGUGAAGGAUUUCAUGAGCAACUUCCAGGUGGACCAGGAGGGCCGCAUUACGGAGGAAGAAUUUGUGAUGGGGUGGACGAAGCACCAGAAUGACCUCGGCUCGAAGUAUGACCUCUCCAAGAUGGCACACCUGUUCCACUACGACUUAGAAAAGGAAUUCCUGCAAGUAGUGCGCGAGGCCUUCGAUUUGAUCGACUCAGAGCACUCGGGCAUCAUCACCAAGGAGAAACUCAAGAGCUUGAACUUGGGCCUAACCGACAAAGAUGCUGAGUCUGCAUUCUCUUCGAUGGACACGGAGCACAGGGGCCUUUCCUCCCUCACUUUCGAGGGCUUCGUGGGUCUCUGCUUGAAGUACGACUUCUUCAAGAACCACCCACUCGCCAUCCGCUUGCGCCGGCUAAACGCCUUCUUCGAGGCCACUGAGCACACCGCCUUCCGCGCCUCGCUGAACACCGGCUACACGGUUGCCGGCCAGCGCGAGGUGAUCAAGGCGCUCCUCCUAAGCAAGCAGGAGUCUCUUUCGACUACCUUCGAGGAGGGCGAUGGGAACGGCUUUCUCUACGGCACCUACACUCAAGACUCCAAGAAAGUACUGGAGAUUGGCGUGCGUCUGCUCCCCGCGGCAGCCGGCUAUACCAAGGUAAUUGUGUACCGCAUUGGCGGCAAGACCAUUGAGUUCCACAAGUGGUUUCUCGACCUGCGACGACUGAUGAAAGAUGAGCUGCUACGCUGCGAGGAGGACACGGCGGUGAAGGGCGAGCCGGAGUUGAUGUAAUUCGGUUUCUCGUGUCUUUCAGCUUUCUGUGGGCUUUAUUACCAUUUCACUCUUUGAGCCCCCCUCCCCCUCCUCACGUGAAACCCCGUUGUCCUCCGGAUUUGGUGUGCCCUCUUUCUCUCUCUUCCCCUCUGUGUGUGCGCGCAUGCGUGCAAAACUGGGUUUUGUCUCUCUUUUUUGUUACUGUUGUUGUUUUUUUCUUGCAAGGGUUCAAGCAGUGUGACAUUACGUAGUUUUACCUCGUCUCCGCUCUGCUUUUUCAAAAAAAAACUUCUUGUGUACUGACUCACCUUGGCGACAGGGGGCGCCUCGGCGCGUGGUACCCAUGACUCUGUACACGCCCUGUGUGGGGAAGAAGCCAGGCAGCCCCUAUCCCCUGCCAAUGCUGCACCGCACCUGGCGGUGGCAGGGUCAGGCGCCUACGACGUGGGGGAGGUCAGAGCGAUGCAUCGCUGCUGACGUGGGCGGCCAGGUCGUGGAUGGCGCUGCGUCGGAGCGACCCGCGACCGUGCACCGGGCUGCGCCAUCCAUGCUAUAUGGGCGGAGUGUCAGCGCGACUCGACCGCGACCCGCCCGGCCCUCACUGCCUCCUGGUGUGGGGCGCCUGCGCCACGCCGAGGGAUGCGCCGGGUGGCGGCCGGCAUAGUGGGGGCAGCUGUGGGGCUGCGUGCGCAGAAGAGGCUGGCAGAGGCUGAGGCAGGGCCCGUGCUGAGAUGGCUGCGCCGGCGCAUGGCUGUGAUGCGCGUGUCUCUAGCGCUGCUUCGCACCACGCGAUGGGGGCCUGCGACGGGCCGGGGCUAGCGUGCCCCCUUCCGCCCAUGCUGUAAUGGCGGAGAAUAGACAAUAUGAGAGCAUUGAUGGGCUCACGCGUUGUUUCAUCGUUUCCCCCCUUUUCCUAAACAAAAGCGCAAUGACUAAUUGUCAAGCAGUCUGCUUCGAUGAAUGCAGCGCGAAAGGAGAAGUGCGGUGGUGCCCGCGCGGGAGACAGGGGCAUGGCGAGGCGAAUGUAGCACUGCGGCGAAGGGCAGUGGGGAAGCGAGGGCGACUUUGGGGCGCUGUCGACGAUGGUUUCUCGAGGAGGAAAACGGAGGGGAGGAGGAGAGGGGGAAAGAUGGAAGGGACGCUUCCCGUUUUCUGCACCCCAGACCUAAAUACCCCACCCCCAAUUCUCUCCUUAUGACUAACGCGCGUACUUCCGCAGACUCGCCGUCAAGAAGCACGCCAUCGUCUCUUUGUUCCCUACGCCGUACCCCAGUCAAGUCGAGGUCUGCCCUUACGUGGUAGCUUAGUUUUUGAAGUUUGCCUCUCUCUCUACCGCCGCGUCUCUCGUUCUCUCCUGCCACCUUUCCCCCUUUUUUGUUUACUUCCCCCUUUUUACUGAGUCCUCACUAGUUGUGCGCAGGCAUCUAACGUUUUGUACUGCUGUAUGUAUGUGUGUGUGCGAUCGUUGUUCUCUUCCUGCCCUUUCACACCCUCUCGAGUGGUCGCGUGCUGGCCGUUUGUGUGCGCGCUUGUGGUGUGUUUUGGCGGCUUUCCGCGAAUAACACUGAUCACACAGCAGAAGAGGGAGGGGAGAGGGGAAUGUAGACUGUUGAAGAGAACUAAGGGGAGACCGGAAUACUACAAAGAGGUGGGAAAGCGAAGGAGAGAGGAGGGAUGGUGGGAUGCAACUCUGCCGAGACGCAUACACAGACAGACAUACGUCGAAUAUUGUCUUGCAAUCGUUGCUGCGCUUACAUAUAUUUAUAGUCCUCCUGUGUGUGUGUGUGAGACCAGGGUCGCCCUCCGUCUCUUUUUCUCUCCUUUGAAUUCUGCACCUGCGCCGCCUCCUCUUCUGUGUGUACUUAUCUUCAGUUAUUUCGUUUUCUUUUGAGAGCAGAAAGAAGAUCGACUUCCCCCUCCUACCCCUCGCACAAAGGCGGCAAUGCUCGUUGCAUCAGCAGCAGCCUCGAUGUGGAAGUACUUUUCUUUUAGGCGAUUUACAAGUUCGUGUGUCUCUCUCUCUCUGUGUGGUUGCCUCAAAUUCGAAGUGCUGAGUGACUAUCAAACGAAAAGCAGGCGGUGUCUUGACUUGUUGCCCACGAGCGUG